GUGCGACUUAGUUUAAUUAGAACCCUCAACUUGCACUUGAUAAGAGAGACAUCUCAGUAGC
rnacentral:tRNA from 1 species